AUGGAAAUUUCCCUUUUUUCCCCCAGAGCUUUUUCCAAGGGGAGCGUGGAAAAUGAAGGUCAGAGGCUGAGGGAGCCCCAGCUGCAAAGGGCACCUGAAAUUCAGAGUCGGGAUCUGGAGGCGGCCGUGCCCGGAGCCGGGGGAGGAUCGAUGGACAAGCCAAGCAACUUCUGACUCCGCGGCGUUUUCCGGGAAAAAAUUCCAUGGCCAUGUAUCCUACCAGGGUCUCCGGCGAGGAAUGCAACGGCAUCAACGCCAUGGCGGCCGAGAGCGGCCCCGGCACGCGCCUGCGCCAAAGUUGGCGUUGAUGGUCCAAGAGUUGGGUUUGAUCCAAAGUUGGCGUUGAUGGUCCAAGAGUUGGGCUUGAUCCAAAGUUGGCGUUGAUGGUCCAAGAGUUGGGUUUGAUCCAAAGUUGGCGUUGAUGGUCCAAGAGUUGGGCUUGAUCCAAAGUUGGCGUUGAUGGUCCAAGAGUUGGGUUUGAUCCAAAGUUGGCGUUGAUGGUCCAAGAGUUGGGCUUGAUCCAAAGUUGGCGUUGAUGGUCCAAGAGUUGGGUUUGAUCCAAAGUUGGCGUUGAUGGUCCAAGAGUUGGGCUUGAUCCAAAGUUGGCGUUGAUGGUCCAAGAGUUGGGUUUGAUCCAAAGUUGGCGUUGAUGGUCCAAGAGUUGGGCUUGAUCCAAAGUUGGCGUUGAUGGUCCAAGAGUUGGGCUUGAUCCAAAGUUGGCGUUGAUGGUCCAAGAGUUGGGCUUGAUCCAAAGUUGGCGUUGAUGGUCCAAGAGUUGGGCUUGAUCCAAAGUUGGCGUUGAUGGUCCAAGAGUUGGGCUUGAUCCAAAGUUGGCGUUGAUGGUCCAAGAGUUGGGCUUGAUCCAAAGUUGGCGUUGAUGGUCCAAGAGUUGGGCUUGAUCCAAAGUUGGCGUUGAUGGUCCAAGAGUUGGGCUUGAUCCAAAGUUGGCGUUGAUGGUCCAAGAGUUGGGCUUGAUCCAAAGUUGGCGUUGAUGGUCCAAGAGUUGGGCUUGAUCCAAAGUUGGCGUUGAUGGUCCAAGAGUUGGGCUUGAUCCAAAGUUGGCGUUGAUGGUCCAAGAGUUGGGCUUGAUCCAAAGUUGGCGUUGAUGGUCCAAGAGUUGGGCUUGAUCCAAAGUUGGCGUUGAUGGUCCAAGAGUUGGGCUUGAUCCAAAGUUGGCGUUGAUGGUCCAAGAGUUGGGCUUGAUCCAAAGUUGGCGUUGAUGGUCCAAGAGUUGGGCUUGAUCCAAAGUUGGCGUUGAUGGUCCAAGAGUUGGGCUUGAUCCAAAGUUGGCGUUGAUGGUCCAAGAGUUGGGUUUGAUCCAAAGUUGGCGUUGAUGGUCCAAG
rnacentral:lncRNA from 12 species